rnacentral:lncRNA from 1 species
ACGAAGAUAGGAUGCCGCGUCGAAAAACCGCGGGGGCGGAGAAGGGCGGAUCGAGGCUUGCGUUCGAGGGACAGGCGAUCGUGCGGUGUACGUCUACUGUACCUGGCUACACGGCGGGAGGACGUCGAGGGAGGUUUCCGGAUUAUGCCACAAAAUCCGGGGUUCGCUGGUUGAGCCACAAAGCCAUGCAUCGUACCGGGACGCUCGUGCGGCGUGCGUUGGC